rnacentral:rRNA from 1 species
AUAACGCUUCGAAAGAGGUGCUAAUACCGAAUACGAAUCCUGCAGGCAUCUGCGGGAUGGAAAGUUUUUCGCAGGAUGAGCUCGCGGCCUAUCAGCUAGUUGGUGAGGUAAUGGCUCACCAAGGCGACGACGGGGUAGCCGGCCCUGAGAGGGUGACCGGCCACACUGGAACUGAGACACGGUCCAGACUCCUACGGGGAGGCAGCAGUGGGGAAUAUUGCACAAUGGACGAAAGUCUGAUGCAGCAACGCCGCGUGAGGGAUGAAGGCCUUCGGGUUGUAAACCUCUUUUAGCAGGGAAGAAGCGAAAGUGACGGUACCUGCAGAAAAAGCACCGGCUAACUACGUG